GGAGAGAUGGCUGAGUGGUUGAAAGCGACCGCCUCGAAAGCGGUUAUUCCGGGUAACUGGAAUCGUGGGUUCGAAUCCCACUCUCUCCA
rnacentral:tRNA from 1 species